rnacentral:rRNA from 1 species
AAGGGCGCAUGGCGGAUGCCUUGGCUCACAGAGGCGAUGAAGGACGUGAUAAGCUGCGAUAAGCUGCGUGUAGGUGCAAAUACCCAUUGAUGCGCGGAUUUCCGAAUGGGACAACCCACCUGUCUGAAGGGCAGGUAUCACUGCACUGGCAGUG